UACGUAGGGUCCGAGCGUUGUCCGGAAUUACUGGGCGUAAAGAGCUCGUAGGUGGUUUGUCGCGUUGUUCGUGAAAACUCACAGCUUAACUGUGGGCGUGCGGCGAUACGGGCAGACUGGAGUACUGCAGGGGAGACUGGAAGUUCCAGGUGUAGCGGUGAAAUGCGUAGAUAUCUGGAGGAACACCGGUGGCGAAGGCGGCAUUCUGGGCCGAUACUGACGCUGAGGAGCGAAAGCGUGGGGAGCGAACAGG
rnacentral:rRNA from 1 species